GACAGAGGUGCCGAGCGUUAGGCGGAAUCACUGGGCUUAAAGCGCGUGUAGGCGGGUCGUUAAGUGCCUUGUGAAAUCCCCCGGCUCAACCGGGGAACGGCUGGGCAUACUGGCGACCUUGGGCCACCCAGGGGUCACCGGAACAGGCGGUGGAGCGGUGAAAUGCGUAGAUAUCUGGAGGAACACCGGUGGCGAAGGCGGCGUCCUGGACCAACACUGACACUGAUGAGCGAAAGCCAGGGGAGCAAACGGG
rnacentral:rRNA from 1 species